rnacentral:rRNA from 1 species
CGGGUGAGUAAUGCGUGACCAACCUGCCCCAUGCUCCAGAAUAGCUCUUGGAAACGGGUGGUAAUGCUGGAUGCUCCAACUUGACGCAUGUCUUGUUGGGAAAGUGUUUAGUGGCAUGGGAUGGGGUCGCGUCCUAUCAGCUUGUAGGCGGGGUAAUGGCCCACCUAGGCUUCAACGGGUAGCCGGCCUGAGAGGGCGGACGGCCACAUUGGGACUGAGAUACGGCCCAGACUCCUACGGGAGGCAGCAGCA